CCUUACCUACUCUUGACAUCCUGCGAACUUGGUAGAGAUACCUUGGUGCCUUCGGGAACGCAGAGACAGGUGCUGCAUGGCUGUCGUCAGCUCGUGUUGUGAAAUGUUGGGUUAAGUCCCGUAACGAGCGCAACCCUUGUCCUUAGUUGCCAUCAUUUAGUUGGGGACUCUAAGGAGACUGCCGGUGACAAACCGGAGGAAGGCGGGGACGACGUCAAGUCAUCAUGGCCCUUACGAGUAGGGCUACACACGUGCUACAAUGGCAAGUACAGAGGGCCGCGAAGCCGCGAGGUGGAGCUAAUCUCACAAAGCUUGUCGUAGUCCGGAUUGGAGUCUGCAACUCGACUCCAUGAAGUCGGAAUCGCUAGUAAUCGCAAAUCAGAAUGUUGCGGUGAAUACGUUCCC
rnacentral:rRNA from 1 species